GACGUAGGGCGCAAGCGUUGUCCGGAUUUAUUGGGCGUAAAGAGCUCGUAGGCGGCUGCUCAAGUCGAAUGUGAAAACUCGAGGCUCAACCUCGAGCCUGCAUUCGAUACUGGGCGGCUAGAGUCUGGUAGGGGGAUCUGGAAUUCCUGGUGUAGCGGUGGAAUGCGCAGAUAUCAGGAGGAACACCGGUGGCGAAGGCGAGUCUCUGGACAGUUACUGACACUGAGGCACGAAGGCCAGGGGAGCAAACGGG
rnacentral:rRNA from 1 species